GGAUUCCUAGAGUGUAGGCUUUGCCUGCUAUCUCUUACCCAUGUCUUUUGAGUACCUUACGUUUCCUCGGCGGGUCCGCCCGCCGAUUGGACAAUUUAAACCAUUUGCAGUUGCAAUCAGCGUCUGAAAAAACUUAAUAGUUACAACUUUCAACAACGGAUCUCUUGGUUCUGGCAUCGAUGAAGAACGCAGCGAAAUGCGAUAAGUAGUGUGAAUUGCAGAAUUCAGUGAAUCAUCGAAUCUUUGAACGCACAUUGCGCCCCUUGGUAUUCCAUGGGGCAUGCCUGUUCGAGCGUCAUUUGUACCUUCAAGCUCUGCUUGGUGUUGGGUGUUUGUCUCGCCUCUGCGUGUAGACUCGCCUCAAAACAAUUGGCAGCCGGCGUAUUGAUUUCGGAGCGCAGUACAUCUCGCGCUUUGCACUCAUAACGACGACGUCCAAAAGUACAUUUUUACACUCUUGACCUCGGAUCAGGUAGGGAUACCCGCUGAACUUAAGCAUAUCAAUAAGCGGAGGAA
rnacentral:rRNA from 1 species